CCACAAGCAAGUGCCAUUCCGCUGCCUUUAUGGGAGGGAAAGUGGGCCCAUGGUUACAACAAUCACCCCACCUGGCUGAGCUCACAAACAGAAGCUUGUGAGAUGGCAGGAUUGAGACCUUUCCAGAGAUGUGGUCAUUAUUCAGACAUCUUAGAAGUGGAUUGUGGAUGUGCAGUGGAAAAGUUCAAACAGGAAACCCACAAUCUUCUCCCCGGGUCUACGUGAAGUUCUACAGCUUCACAAGGAAUUACUGCUGCUGCCAUCCAAAACUCAGCAAUUUGAGGAAGCCCCCACUGUGUAGUCAAUAACAGACUGUGGAUUCAAUCCUGGGUCCUGCCUAGAGCAAAAUGGAUGUUAUUAUUUGUCACACAGCAGCUCUGCUUAAACACCCCGUAGAAAAGGGCAUGCUCCUGUCUGGUGAGAGCAGUCUGACAGCCUCAGAGAUCCUUUCUGGAUGCAGUGGUACCUCUACAGGUACAGCCAAUCCCUGGUAACUGGAAUGUACACAAACGGCACAACAUUCCUUAGAGCAGGAGUGUAUCCUCGCUGGUCAGCUGCAACAUUGGACAGGCAGUGCAGUAGCUCAGGUUACUCGGAGGUUGUCAUCCCAGGAUCAGGUCAAGCCUCUUCUGGAACUGAAUUAUCCCAGGGGGAUGUCCUAAUGACCUUGCACACCAUGCGGCCUGGGAGCUUAUCAAUCAGGAGAGGGCUUGUCAGGAAGGUGAGAAAGCUCUCCUGAAACCAGAUCUAUUACCAGAGAUCCCCUGCCUGGACAGAAGUGUCUCACAGCCAGUGAACUCCUACACUUACAUGCACUCUUUACUUCUAGAUGUAACUACAGUCUGAAGGCUCAAAAUUAGUUAAUAAUUUUUUUUUUUUCCUUCUUCUUGUUAAAUAAAAUACAUGUCAUCUGAGCUGCCUGCA
rnacentral:lncRNA from 1 species